rnacentral:rRNA from 1 species
UACGGAGGGGGCAAGCGUUGUUCGGAUUUACUGGGCGUAAAGGGCGCGUAGGCGGACCUGUAAGUCAGGGGUGAAAUCCCAAGGCUCAACCUUGGAACUGCCUUUGAUACUGUGGGUCUUGAGUUCGAGAGAGGUAAGUGGAACUGCGGGUGUAGAGGUGAAAUUCGUAGAUAUUCGCAGGAACACCAGUGGCGAAGGCGGCUUACUGGCCCGGUACUGACGCUGAGGUGCGAAAGCGUGGGGAGCAAACAGG